AUGAGACUGCUCCUACUUCUGGGAAAGAUGGUAAAGUUACUGAACGCUCUUCCAAUGAGCCUGAGUUGCCAUGGUGAUGAGCCAGUUGGAGAGUCUGCAGGUUUGAUAGCAGGUAGACGCAGCACUCUUGUCAAGCUUGAUGUGAAGUAAGUAGCCUACAUAAAGAGCAGGAGUCAAAUAACCUCAAUGAAAAAUGUCUUUCUUUUUUUUCAUGUUUUACCUCAAACAUUCUAGGUUCCUUUCUUUUUAAUGUGUUAUCUGAAUACAAGUGAGGCAAUACUUGUGUUUAUUGUCACUGGUUGUCCGGGUGACGUUUUGGACAAGGACAUUCACUAAGGUGUGUCUGUGACUGGAACCAAAAAGGCUGUUGGUUGCAAUUUUGGCGGUACAGACACUUACUUGAAGUUGAUUUGCUUUCUGUUUGUAAUAUAGUAUAAGGGAUGUUUAAAGUAACCAUAUAGCAACGUUGUAUAGGCCUCCAGACAUGAGAUGCAGAAAAACGUAACGAAAAUACCAACUAAUUGUAAGAAACCUGUGGUAAAACUAUGUAGUUUAACUUGUAAAUAAUUUACGACUGAGGGGGGUGUAUCUUGUAGGUCAAAACGGUACAGGCAAGAAGCUGAUCUGAAUGGCAUAUGGCAAGAAAUUACGCGUCAAACACAACCCAAAGCUCUUCUAUUUUUGUCAUAUUUUCAUACUAUUUUUUUACCAAAACAACAACAACAAUACAAAUCUACAAAUAUUCCAAUAAUGACACUAUACGCAUUUGUCAUGUUUCUGAUCCUGAUGUAAUUCCGUCAGCAUGCCGUUGUAAACAACAUUCAGACAGGAAGCUCGUUUCCCAGACAGCUCCUUCAAUAAAAACGUAUUCGUACCUUCAUUGAAGACCACACACUUCUAUACACGCUGCCACGAUCAUACCUCUUGCCUGUUCAGAAACUAAUCGGUGUUAUGCUAUUACUGCGUCAAAUAUACUGGAAAGUACUGUUCUAUGUUCUUUUAAAAUAGAAAAUGUGAUAAGUUUAGAAGAACCCUGGCUCUGCCUGAGCAUAUUUAGCGUGAUUAAAUGUUGUAAUAUAUUAACGGAAACCGUGGUCUCUCCAUCCGUUCUUCCCUUUGGUCAGAAUACAUAUCUCACACAUCGAUGUGACCCUUCCACAUGGCGUUUCUCACGCAUUGCAGCAAGGCUUAAGAUGCUACUAUUUACCGCUGCUGUAGCUCUACCCACUGUGCUCAGAGGCGUAACCCGCGGCCGCUCUCCGGUCCUCCGACCUCGGCAGUGGAGCUGUGUGUUUGGCAUGCAACGCAUUUGUUGCCAUUAAACAAUAGGUGUAUGUGGUGCCUUGCUUUGGUCAAAACGCACACGGAACUUUCAUGUAGGCCUUCGGUGAAAUUGUCUAUCUUUACCUUUCUGGAAUCUGAAAUGAUGAAUGACAGUUGUCACUGUCACCGCAGUUUCAGUCAGGGGACUAGAACUGGGAAACUUAUUCUAACUUCAAUCCUAAUGUCAAUACAUGACGUAAGCACUGAGAUACUUUCAUAAACACAUUUCCAUGCCAGUGAAUUCGCUUCGUUACCAUGUGAUUCAAUCUCUGUUAUCUGACCGGGAAAAAGUAAAUGUCCUUACCAUCUGAAAUAGAGAUCUAUUUACUGUAGGCUAUGUGGUAGGCUACUACAUGUGGUUAUAUCGCCUCCUAGUGGAUCCAUUCCAAUCUACGUGGAGUUUAAAGAAGUGGUACUUCGGCUUUGGUGUGGGAGUGUAGUAUUAUAGCAUUUAAGGGUCUUUGUGGGUGGGGUAAAACAUAUAGGUUUUGAACAUACUACUGUAUUGCAAUUCUUCAUCUGUGGUAACUAACUGGGUAGCGGUGUUUUCAUUUUCCCUUUACUGUAAGUGAUAAGAUACGACGGAAAGGAUGCACGGACUAAAUGUUUAUUUGAAGUGAAAUUAACAUAUUUUAGGGAUAACAAGACUGUUUUCAUAUUUCAGUGUUUUUUAAGUUUAUUUAUCUACCCUUUUAUCAAGAGGAGUAUUUUAAGUGCCUUUUGUGCACAUAAUCAUUGAUUUAUAAAUGGUCUUAUGAUAACUUUUUUUUCUUUAUUUCUUCUUAUAGGCCUACAAAGGGCCUAUAUGUUGUCACUCAGUUGUAAUGUUCAAUAUAAACUUUGGUGUUUUAUUUUUGUAUCCCUUGUAAUGAUCUUCAUGCAUGUACAAACCCCUGGGACCAUCGUGGUCUUAUCAAUGAUAGGAUAUAUGUGCAUAUUUAAUGUACGCAUCCAUAUAAAUAAUUACUAUGAACUUUUUUAUGUCAUCCCAUCAGGGUGAAUGGUACGGUAGGCUAUAGACUAAAUGUAUGAAAUCUAUUUCGUUUUUGAUCUUGUCGAUUCACAGAAGGCUUAUCAAAACUAGGCAACUGUCGAGUUGUCUACAAAAAAUUAAGUAAAAAAAAAACUGCGGCUCAGUAGAAUCAUCUCAGAUCGCCUGUGUUUAUAGAUUUUCCAGCUGUUAUUCCUCCCGAUGGUUUGGUUGAGUGACGCCCAUGUUACUCUUUUCCUCUUACCUGAGGUAGCCUAAUUCACCCUUUAAUGCUAAUGCUAAAGCAAACUCUACAGAAUAUUCUGCCCCCUGUCCACUUGCACGGUUUAUAAAGCGCUCAUUGCUCCCCUCUCCCUCUCUAAGCUAUGUACGUGAUGUUCAAGAAUGUGCAUUUGAGUUCUGGAAUGUAUGAAAAAAAAAAUGAUUAAGCCGUGUAUGAUUGCUACGAUAAAAACGAACCUAUAAUCAUCGUAAAAACGACCAUUGACAGA